AAUGAAAGAGGCGACGAAAUCUAGACUAUUUAAGUUUUAAUAUAAAUUGACAAGCGGGUCAAAAGGCCCGCAUGGGCCAGGGGGACGAUAAGACCCUAUAAAACUUUACUUUCGGGCCGGUACCCGGCGGGAUGUGAGGGGUCUGAGAGUUUAACUGGGGCGGUUAUUAUAGAAACAAUUAUACAUGAAAUAUAUUAUAUAGAUUGGUAGAACUCUCUAGAGAAAUAGAACAAGUUACUUUAGGGAUAACAGCGUGAUCCCCCCAGAGAGUCCUGAUUGGCGGGGGGGCUUACGACCUCGAUGUUGAAUUGGGGUUUCCUAUAUAAGCAAAUAUAUAUAUAGAUAGUCUGUUCGACUAUUAAACUCCC
rnacentral:rRNA from 1 species